rnacentral:rRNA from 1 species
ACACGUAGGGGCCUGACGUUGUUCGGAAUCAUUGGGCGUAAAGGGCGCGCAGGCGGCCGUCCAAGUCCGGUGUUAAAUGGUCGGGCUCAACCCGAUCAUGCGCUGGAAACUGGGCGGCUGGAGUCCCGGAGGGGAUGCCGGAAUUCCAGGUGUAGGGGUGAAAUCUGUAGAUAUCUGGAAGAACACCGAUGGCGAAGGCAGGCAUCUGGCCGGAGACUGACGCUGAGGCGCGAAGGCGCGGGGAGCGAACAGGUUUAGAUACCCUGGUAGUCCGCACAGUAAACGAUGUGCACCAGGUGGCGGGGGGUCGACCCCCGGUACCGUAGCUAACGCAUUAAGUGCACCGCCUGGGGAGUAUGCUCGCAAGGGUGAAACUCAAAUGAAUUGACGGGG